rnacentral:rRNA from 1 species
UACGUAGGGGGCAAGCGUUAUCCGGAUUUACUGGGUGUAAAGGGAGCGUAGACGGUAUGGCAAGUCUGAUGUGAAAACCCGGGGCUCAACCCCGGGACUGCAUUGGAAACUGUCGGACUAGAGUGUCGGAGAGGCAAGUGGAAUUCCUAGUGUAGCGGUGUAAUGCGUAGAUAUUAGGAGGAACACCAGUGGCGAAGGCGGCUCGCUGGACGAUGACUGACGUUGAGGCUCGAAAGCGUGGGGAGCAAACAGG